AUAUCAAUAAGCGGAGGAAAAGAAACCAACAGGGAUUGCCCCAGUAACGGCGAGUGAAGCGGCAACAGCUCAAAUUUGAAAUCUGACCUCCACGAGGGGUCCGAGUUGUAAUUUGCAGAGGAUGCUUCGGCGUCGGCCCCGGGCCAAGUCCCCUGGAACGGGGCGUCCUAGAGGGUGAGAACCCCGUACCCGCCCGGGUGCCCUUCGCCUCGUGAAGCUCCUUCGACGAGUCGAGUUGUUUGGGAAUGCAGCUCCAAGCGGGAGGUAAAUUUCUUCUAAAGCUAAAUACCGGCCAGAGACCGAUAGCGCACAAGUAGAGUGAUCGAAAGAUGAAAAGCACUUUGGAAAGAGAGUUAAAAAGCACGUGAAAUUGUUGAAAGGGAAGCUCUUGCCGCCAGACUUGCCACGGUCGCUCAGCCGCCCCCCGGGGCGGUGUACUCUUCCGUCGGCAGGCCAGCGUCGGUUCGGGCGGUCGGAUAAAGGCCCCGGGAAUGUAGCAUCCUCCGGGGUGUGUUAUAGCCCGGGGCGUAAUACGGCCAGCCCGGUCCGAGGGAUGCGUUCGCGAGGACGCUGGCGUAAUGGCUGCAAGCGACCCGUCUUGAAACACGGACCAAGGAGUCUAACAUCUGUGCGAGUGUUUGGGCGUCAAACCCAUGCGCGUAAUGAAAGUGAACGGAGGUGGGAACCCCCUCGAGGGGCGCACCAUCGACCGAUCCUGAUGUCUUCGGAUGGAUUUGAGUAAGAGCAUAGCUGUUGGGACCCGAAAGAUGGUGAACUAUUCCCGGAUAGGGUGAAGCCAGAGGAAACUCUGGUGGAGGCUCGCAGCGGUUCUGACGUGCAAAUCGAUCGUCAAAUCUAGGAAUAGGGGCGAAAGACUAAUCGAACCAU
rnacentral:rRNA from 1 species